rnacentral:SRP_RNA from 1 species
UCGUGCUAGAUGGGGAGCUAGCGGUGCCCUGUAACCCGAAAGCCGCUUUAUGCGGGGUUGAAGUCCCUCCCUGAGAGUUGCAGCGCAGCCAAGGCAGUGGCCAGAAGGGCGGAUUGGACCCCACGCAACAGACGCUGGCGAACCCCGUCAGGUCCGGAAGGAAGCAGCGGUAAGUCAGGCCGGCUGUGUCGUGGCGGCAACUAAUCCUUCACCCCCUGGAAGCUUCCUCGGUUGUGGCGGACCCGAAGGAGGGUGCACGG